UACAGAGGUCCCAAGCGUUGUUCGGAUUCACUGGGCGUAAAGGGUGCGUAGGCGGUUGGGGAAGUCUGACGUGAAAUCUCCGGGCCUAACCCGGAAACUGCGUUGGAUACUAUCCGACUAGAGGAAUGGAGGGGAGACUGGAAUACUUGGUGUAGCAGUGAAAUGCGUAGAUAUCAAGUGGAACACCAGUGGCGAAGGCGAGUCUCUGGACAUUUCCUGACGCUGAGGCACGAAAGCCAGGGGAGCAAACGGG
rnacentral:rRNA from 1 species